rnacentral:rRNA from 1 species
CCUACGGGUGGCAGCAGUGGGGAAUAUUGCACAAUGGGGGAAACCCUGAUGCAGCGACGCCGCGUGAAGGAAGAAGUAUUUCGGUAUGUAAACUUCUAUCAGCAGGGAAGAAAAUGACGGUACCUGACUAAGAAGCCCCGGCUAACUACGUGCCAGCAGCCGCGGUAAUACGUAGGGGGCAAGCGUUAUCCGGAUUUACUGGGUGUAAAGGGAGCGUAGGCGGCGAUGCAAGUCAGAAGUGAAAGCCCGGGGCUCAACUCCGGGACUGCUUUUGAAACUGUGUUGCUAGAUUGCAGGAGAGGUAAGUGGAAUUCCUAGUGUAGCGGUGAAAUGCGUAGAUAUUAGGAGGAACACCAGUGGCGAAGGCAGCUUACCAAGCUACUUCUGACGUUGAGGCACGAAAGCGUGGGGAGCAAACAGGAUUAGAUACCCGUGUAGUC